UGGUCUGGUGGAAGGGGCAUGGUAGAAGGUGGUCUGGUGGAAGGUGGUCUGGUAGAAGGUGGUCUGGUGGAAGGUGGUCUGGUAGAAGGUGGUCUGGUGGAAGGGGCAUGGUGGAAGGUGGUCUGUUGGAAGGGGCAUGGUAGAAGGUGGUCUGGUGGAAGGGGCAUGGUGGAAGGUGGUCUGGUAGAAGGUGGUCUGGUGGAAGGUGGUCUGGUGGAAGGUGGUCUGGUGGAAGGGGCAUGGUAGAAGGUGGUCUGGUGGAAGGUAGUCUGGUGGAAGGUGGUCUGGUGGAAGGGGCAUGGUGGAAGGUGGUCUGGUGGAAGGCGGCAUGGUGGAAGGUGGUCUGGUGGAAGGGGCAUGGUGGAAGGUGGUCUGGUGAAAG
ensembl:lncRNA